UACGUAGGGUGCAAGCGUUGUCCGGAAUUAUUGGGCGUAAAGAGCUCGUAGGCGGUUUGUCGCGUCGGAUGUGAAAAUCCAGGGCUCAACCCUGGACCUGCAUUCGAUACGGGCAGACUAGAGUUCGGUAGGGGAGACUGGAAUUCCUGGUGUAGCGGUGAAAUGCGCAGAUAUCAGGAGGAACACCGGUGGCGAAGGCGGCACUCUGGGCCGAUACUGACACUGAGGAGCGAAAGCGUGGGGAGCGAACAGG
rnacentral:rRNA from 1 species